UGGAUUAGGCAUGCAAGUCGAGCGAGAAGAGUUUUGAAGCUUGCUUUAGAACUCGGACAGCGGCGAAAGGGAGAGUAACGCGUAGUUAUGUGCCCUAGGGUCCGGAAUAGCCACGGGAAACUGUGGGUAAUGCCGGAUAAUAUCCCCGGAUCAAAGGUGUGAUUCCGCCCUAGGAGCAGACUGCGUCCUACUAGCUAGUUGGUGGGGUAAUGGCCCACCAAGGCAAUGAUGGGUAGCGGGUGUGAGAGCAUGACCCGUCUCACUGGGACUGAGACACUGCCCAGACACCUACGGGUGGCUGCAGUCGAGAAUCUUCGGCAAUGGGCGAAAGCCUGACCGAGCGAUGCCGCGUGCGGGAUGAAGGCCCUCGGGUUGUAAACCGCUGUCGUAGGGGAGGAAGGUUCCGUGAAGAGCGGAAUUUGACCUAUCCUAGGAGGAAGUACGGGCUAAGUUCGUGCCAGCAGCCGCGGUA
rnacentral:rRNA from 1 species